CUCGCCGUUCCCUCUUUUCUCCCCGACGCCGCCGAGCCUUCUCCUCCUCUCGGCCCUAACCGCCGGCUGGCGGUUGCUUCUUCCCGAACGUCGGCAGCCGAUCCCUUGCCGAAGCCCUAGCCGCCGGCGACGCAAUCGGCCACUUUCUUCUUCUCCUUUUCUUCCUCCCGAGCAGCACCCCUCGGUGCCCUAGCCACCCGGCGCCGCCCGACCGCCUGCCCGAGCCGAACCCCUCUCUUCCUCUGCCCUAGACAAACUCCAGCGCGAGCCACCGUCGGUUAAGCCCUUCGCCCUCUUCUGAUUUGUUGUGCACUGUCGCCACUGUGUGCCGCUCACCGCCGAUGUCUUCUCGCCGUCACUCUAGCACCGCCGACAUCUACUGAUGCCGACCUUUCCUCUGCCCUAGUUCCUCAGCCGCCGUCUGUGUGGGGUCUCCAGCCGAUUGUCUUCUGCCAUGCCAAAGGAUUCUAGACUUUCACCAAAUCCAGAGAAGGUGAGGAGGGUCUUCCAACAGUACUUUGUCCAACAGCAACCCUUGAGUUCCAACAGCGGCAGAAUUAAGGACUUUGACGCGAGACGAGUAUCUCGGAGUCAGAUUUGGACCAUUUCGAUUGGAGG